rnacentral:rRNA from 1 species
GACGAACGCUGGCGGCGUGCCUAAUACAUGCAAGUCGAACGCAGUGGGGACUGGUGAGUAACACGUGGGUAACCUCCCAUCAGAGGGGAUAACACUUGGACACAGGUUCUAAACCGCUACUGAUUGAUGGACCCGCGGUGCAUUAGCUAGUUGGUGAGGUAACGGCUCACCAAGGCCACGAUGCAUAGCCGAACUGAGAUGGUGAGCGGCCAGACUGGGACUGAGACACGGCCCAGACGCAUAAGGAAAGGAGCAGUAGGGCAACUGCGGGAAUGGGGGGAACACUGAGCGAGAAACGCGGAGGGAGGGAAGAAGGUUGUCGGAUCGGAAAGCUCUGUUGUGAAGGAAGCGGUACUUAAACAGAAAGGGACGGCUAACUACGUGCCAGCAGCCGCGGUAAUAC